rnacentral:rRNA from 1 species
UACGUAGGUGGCGAGUGUUGUCCGGAAUUACUGGGCGUAAAGGGUGCGUAGGUGGAGAUUUAAGUCAGAUGUGAAACUCCCGGGCUUAACCUGGGAACUGCAUUUGAAACUGGAUUUCUAGAGUGCAGGAGAGGAAAGCGGAAUUCCUAGUGUAGCGGUGAAAUGCGUAGAUAUUAGGAAUGAACACCAGUGGCGAAGGCGCUUUCUGGACUGUAACUGACACUGAGGCUCGGAAAGCGUGGGGAGCAAACAGG